UACGUAGGGACCAAGCGUUGUUCGGAUUUACUGGGCGUAAAGGGCGCGUAGGCGGCCACCGCAAGUCGAUUGUGAAAUCUCCGGGCUUAACCCGGAAAGGUCAACCGAUACUGCGGGGCUAGAGUGCAGAAGGGGCAACUGGAAUUCUCGGUGUAGCGGUGAAAUGCGUAGAUAUCGAGAGGAACACCUGCGGCGAAGGCGGGUUGCUGGGCUGACACUGACGCUGAUGCGCGAAAGCUAGGGGAGCGAACGGG
rnacentral:rRNA from 1 species